UGCUGGAGGUAUCAGAAGUGCGAAUGCUGACAUAAGUAACGAUAAAGCGGGUGAAAAGCCCGCUCGCCGGAAGACCAAGGGUUCCUGUCCAACGUUAAUCGGGGCAGGGUGAGUCGACCCCUAAGGCGAGGCCGAAAGGCGUAGUCGAUGGGAAACAGGUUAAUAUUCCUGUACUUGGUGUUACUGCGAAGGGGGGACGGAGAAGGCUAUGUUGGCCGGGCGACGGUUGUCCCGGUUUAAGCGUGUAGGCUGGUUUUCCAGGCAAAUCCGGAAAACCAAGGCUGAGGCGUGAUGA
rnacentral:rRNA from 1 species